AUUGCUUCUCGCUCUCCGAGUAGGAGCGAAACUGCUCCGCGAAGUCGGUCGCCUGCCGCACUUCCGAGACCAGCUCCUCCACGGCGGCGGCCGCCUCGCCACCCACCAUGCCGCCCUGCGCCGCGGAGGGCCAGCCCUCCCCCGCCGUCUUCCCGACACGCACCGCGCCACCUCCCUGCGCCUAGAGGGGCCCCGGCGGCGCGCGACUGCUCGGGAGGACUGGCCUGGAGCGCCCUCGCUGGGCGCGGCGGCCAGCGCCGCCGGGCCCUGCAGACUCCCGCGGCCCGAAGUCCCGGGCGUGGGUCUCCCCGGAGGCCGCAGGGGCAGUUCUCGGCCAGCCCCGCGGGCAACCAGCAGGGAAACGGAGGCUCCCGCCGAGCGCAGAAGAAGGGCAGCCCUCUCCCAUUCGGAGCUGGAGGCCGGCCAGGGAUGUCCAGCGUCCUUGCCCGGGGAGUUCCCCGGGCUCCGGCCCAAAGUCCAGUGUCCUCGGUUCUGAGCACUUAUUUAUGUAGAGAUGCUCUGUGUCAGCUUCUGAUUGAUUCCCAGAGGUCUCGACACCCCCACCCAGUGUGUGGCCUGCCUUCCUGGAUCAGGUGAACCCGCUGAGAAACAGAAGAGCUUCUUCCUCAUCAAAGGCUGUGGAGCAUUUAAAAAACGAUUGCAACCUUCUGAUCUUUAGAGGACUCCUGGAGAAAUGACAGUCCCUUGCUGCUGCCUUUAAUUGGAGAGGAGCUCAGAGACCCGAGAUGAUAAUUAUGACGCCUUGCAUGCCGAGCUCGUCAAAAGCCUGCCAUUGUCCUUGCUGUCACCCUGAACAGCUCUGACAAACCAAACCCUGCAGACCCCGGAGCGUGCCCUGGGUCUCUCAGCCAGGCCUUACCUGGGAACUCUGAGUGACGGUGACAUGUAGGCCGCAGGAAGACACACAGUAAACCCAGGAGUCUGUGAUGAGCUCAGAAGAGGCCUCCUUCGAAACCGCCUGUUGGAGUCGGCAGAGCCACAAGGGGGAAGGAUCCCGGUCCCUGAAUGAUCCUGUGGAGGACAGGCACCACUGAUCAGGAACAACCACUCCAGGAAUCUCACCUCCCGACCUGGGUUGUGAGGUCUUCUGGGGCAAGGAUGGCGCCUGCUCUUCCUUGGGCCCACUCUCCCAGCCCGGUCAGCCAGAGGGCCGGACACCUAAGAGCUGCUUGCCUCUCCUUGAACUCUGAAAGCAGUUGGCGAUCAGAAAGUGUGGUAAAAUGGAAGACAAAUACAUAGGUCUCGGGGUGUGCUGGGCUCAGUGCCAGUUCUGCCACCACUUGCUAGCCGUGUGACUAUUGGUAAGUUGCUAAACCUUUC